ACAAAAUCGCAGGAGAAGUGCAAAUACUAACAAUGAAGAGAAUGAUGAUUCUGCAGAAUCAAAUAAUCAUCGAGUGCAAAGUGAUGAUGUAAUACUAAAUGAAUCUCGACAAGAAGCUGAUAAUUCUCAUAAGAAGAAAAAUCCACCUCGUGGUAAUAAUAAGUGUCUAAAGUUGAAUAAUUUGUCACAUGGGGAGAAAAAGAUCAUUACUUUUUAUUAUAAUAGAGCUAUUGAGCCAGAAUUUUCACGAUAUCUUGGAAUUAUUAUUCGUGAUAGAACUAUUUGCCCAGUAGCUGUUGAGAAUUAGGCCAAAAUACCACAAUAAAAUAAAGAUCAUAUGUGGGCAUCCAUUAAGGUACAUUGAAAAUUAAUUUUUUGCAAUUGGUUUUUAAUUCUUAUAAAUUAAAUUUUGAUUCAAAUUUGAUAUAGGAUAAAUUUGAUGCUGAGGACAUGGAGCAAAAGAGAGAGUUAGUAAUGAGACACUUGCGCGAUUUGUGGAAUAAGUGGCGUGGUGACAUGCACAGGAAAUAUGUGAAAGAAAAUUUAUUGCAAGUUGCACUUAGAAAUAAACCUACAGAAGUGAGUGUUGAUGACUGAGAUUGGCUAGUUAAGGAAUAUUAUUUUUCUUCAAAAUUUUAGGUAUUAAUCUCCUAAUUUUAUUAAUUUUGUUCCAUGUAUAUUGUUGGAUUGUUGAAAUUAUCUUUUAAUCUUGAUGUAUAGAAAGCAAGCCAACAAAAUACACUUAACAGAGGCAAACGAAAGAUGCUCCACCACACGGGCAGCAAAUCCUUUAGACAAAUUGCGUGGGAAUUGGGUGGCAAGUAAGGAAAUCCACCUGAUGUGGCAAAAAUGUUUCAUGAAACUCGAAAGAAAGCUAAUGAAACACUAGAAAAUGGGGAUCAAGAUAAAUAUGAUGAAAUUGUUCAAGUCAAACAAGCAAACCCUUCACUUUCUGACAUUGAGAUAGUUGAGAAAAUCUGGGGGAAGCAAUCUCAUAGUCACAUUACUGUAUUUGGUGGUGGGACUACUUUGAAAGAUUUGAGAGGACCUCUCCCUAGUCGAUCUGAUCUGGAAGCACGGGUUAUAGAAGAAAAGAGAAAGAACCAGAUACUUCAACAACACUUAGAUGAGCAGGAGCAACAACAAUAAAGGAUGUCUGAGUUGGAGUCACAAGUGAAAGCUAUGCAAGAACUUUUUUUUAGGCAAUCACCUUCAUUGACUCCUCAAACUCGAGAACAUGUGCAGGACUAGGCUAUCCAUGCAAGAUUAGGAGGGGGUAGCUCGAGUCUUCUUUUGACGAUGAUUAGAGGUGUCAGAGAUGUGUCUUCCCCAAACUUUUAUUUUAAUUUGUUUUAGAUAGUUUCAUGUAUUUUUCUUUGGAACAAUUAGGAUAUUAACUCUU